UCCUGCCAGACGGAAGGUGUUUCACAAAGUUUAUUUGCAUGGAAUUUGGGACACAGAGCUGGAUUAAAAUUCUGGGUCUGCCUUCUAUUACUAUUAUUAUAUUACUAUUAUUAUCAUUACUAUUACUAGUAUUCACUCACUAUCUCAAGCUCAUCCUUGACAAGCAUACACUCUGAUGAGCAUGACUUAAGGAGGCCUGAUAUAUUUUUUAAAGUUUUUAUUUAAAUUCCAGUUAGUUAACAUACAGUGUAAUAUUAGUUUCAUGUGUACAAUAUAGUGAUUCAACAUGUACAUACAUCACCCAGUGCUCGUCACAAGUGCCCCCCUUAAUCCCCAUCACCUAUUUCACCCAUCCCUCCCACCCCUUCCGGUAACUUUGUUCUUUGUAGUCAAGAGUCUGUUUCUCGGUUUGAAGGAAGACUUAUAUUUCAAUAUUAAACAUUUUCCCUUUAAUUUUCUUAGGUGGUAGCAGUAAUAAAUUUCCAGUUUUGGUUUCAAAUCCUGAUUAAAUUCCUAGUCUACUGCCUUGCAGACAGUGAGUAGGUGCUCAGUAAAUAAUGAAUGAUAGUCCAUACUUAAAAAAAUUUUUUUUAAAUGUUUAUUUAUUUUUGAGACAGAGAGAGAGAGCGAGCCGGGGAGGGGCAGAGAGAGGAGACACAGAAUCUGAAGCAGGCUCCAAGCUCUGAGCUGUCAGCACAGAGCCCGAUGCAGGGCUUGAAUCCAUGAACCAUGAAAUCAUGACCUGAGCCGAAGUUGGAUGCUUAACCGACUGAGCCACCCAGGCACCCCAAUAGUCCAUAUUUUUUAUUAUGAUCUCAAACUAGUGGGACCAUCUUUUAAAUUUUGAAUGCUCUUCUCUCUAGCAUAUGCAUUCAGGCACACCCCAUUUUUAAACCAAAUUCAACAAGGCUUUGAGUAGAUUUAGAAUGUAUAUUAACUUUCUACUCUGUGUAACAAAUUACUACAGAGAGAAUAAAGAUAGCAGACUUUUUUUCUCACACUUUCUGUGGCUCAGGAGUCCAGAAGCUUAACUGGAUGCUCUGCUUAGGGUCUCACAAGGCCACAUUCAAGGCUGGACAGUGUCAGCCUGGCUGUGUUCUUUUUCCAGGCCUGGGGUCCUCUUCCAAGUUCAUUCAGGUUGUUGGCGGAAUUCAGUUCCUUGUGAUUAGAGGAUUGAGGCCCUCAGCUCUCACAGGCAGUUUCCACAGGCAGUUUACAACAUGUCUGUUUGCUUCUUUAAGGCAGGAAAGUGUCUAACUUCGGAAGGACUCCGUCCACUUAAGGGCUCACCUGAUUAAGCCAGGCCCACCAGGAUAAUCUCUAUUUGGGUGAGUUCUGAAUCAACGAUACUGCAAAAAUCCUUUAACAUAACAGAAUUAUGAAGUGACAUCAUAUUCACAAUCUCACCCACAUCUAAAGGAAGGGGGUUAUACAAGACGUGUAGGGUUGUAUUGGGGGUGGGAGGAUCUUGGGGGCCAUGUUAGAAUCAGUCUAUGACAUCACGUGAUUUCCACAUGCCUAGGGCAGUCCGGUAGAUAUUUUUACAAAUACUCCAAAAUACGUUUACUCCAAAAUGCGUUUCUAGGUUGGAGUUGAGAUACUUUGGGCCUUGUUGAGGGCAGCCCCUCAUAAACACUUUGUGGUGCUUAUGAGCACCAUAAAGCCGAUGGCAUUAAUAGUUUCUAAAUGCCAGGUGCCGCGCAGAGGAGAGCUGGGGUGUGGACCUGUGCAUUCCCACUCUGGGGCCUGUUCGCUUAACUGCCGUGUCCUAAACAGAGUUUAGAUAGAUAUGCACUGACAAACGAAUGCAUGAUAAAUGAUUUGAAAUGACGAUUGUGAUGGCAAAUUUUAUGCCGGGCUUGAUUCCUCUCCCUCUCUCUCUCCCGCUCUCCGCGCCCCUUCCCCCGCCCGCUCUGUGACAUAAAUGCUUGGUUACUCAAGGCCACAGUAACAGGAGGCUAGGUAAACAGUACACCCCCACCCCCACCCCCCUUUCUUUUCAAGACGCGAAAAAGGAACAGAGCGUUAGGGGAGGAGGCUGUCGUGGCGUCUCAGGGGCUGGCAGGCCUGUGUGGUGGCCGUGAGGUCGUGCGGACGCCUGGCCCAGUCCCUGGCCGGCGAUCGCGAUCGGCGGUCACGGCCACCCGGGCUGCUCGUGUCUCCGAGGGGACGCUCCGCGCUGCUCUGACCGCGAGCGGUUUGGUAUCGUCCGCGCCUCUUUCUGGGGGCUAGGAUGUCCCUGGCCCAGCGCGUGUCCGCAGUAGACAGUGGGACCCUCCGUAGCCCCUGCAGAAACGAGUCUGAGGCACAAAAGACGGGAGGUCAGCCAGCCGGGGCUCCGCACUGCCUCCCUGCCCUUCCCAUGCCACCGUCUCCCCUCAAACCAGGGCUCGGCUUCUGACCUCCCCCAAGCCGCUAGAGACCCCAUCUGGUGGGCUUUCCUGCCCGCCCCCUCGCGGUGAGUGACUGCAGCACUGUGCCUGCUCGCCAGGGGUCGCAAAGUCCCGGCUCCAGGGGUCAGAACUGACAUUACAUUGAAACAAAGAGCAGGUGAAAGCUCUUCCUGGACCUACCCAGCUGCCCUAUCCAGCCUGGAGAUCCAAAGUGGGUGAUGGAUGGACUGCACAAUGUGGAGCCUUAUAGCCAGUGCAAAAAGUCGUGAAUGCUGAAACAGAUGCCCCAGCAAGUGCCAGUGGCAAAAGAACAAGCGCGUUUGCCUCCCUUCAAUCUUCCAAAUCAUGAGUGUGCGAUUGAUCAGUCUGAAUCCAGAACCUUGCUGGCCAGGGGCACUUUACCAUGCAGAUUCUGGUUGUCAGAUUUUGAAGACUAUUAUCUUUAUGAAGACAGGAACUAGAUUUACUUGAAUCAACAUUGGAACCUCACUACAGAACACUGAUAUAAGUGCUAAUUAAUAUCAGUAUAUGCCUAGUAUAUAAUGUUGAAACUAAAGCAACAGACAGACAAAAGGAAAUUGCCCAAAGUCACACAGGAAGUGGCAGAGGAGAUUAAAACCCAGGCCAUCUGAUGCUAAAGUCCUCAUCUAACCUUUGUGUUAUCCUGCCUCUCCAGGGUGCACCACAGGCCUUUCAUUCCAAAGACUGGAUAAAAAGAGGAUUUGGAGUCCAAGAGCUGAGAACCACAGCCUCAUUGGAGCAACAAGAUUAUAGACCCAUUGAGAGCAGGGAUGUGGCCAUUCUUGUGUACCUCCUCCCACCCUGCUACAGCCCUGGACAACAGUCCAGUGACCCAGACAACACUCCAGUGAGCCAAGCAUAGAAUGCAAGUCUUCUCCACGCCUGUGAACUGGCUGGGUCACUUACCAGUGUGUGACCUUGGGCGUCCCCUGAUCUCUCAACUUCCUUAUCUGGAAGCUGGGGCUAUGAACACACCUGUUUUACGGAACCAUGACAAAUAAAGGAGAUACUAUGCGCAGAAGUACCUCGCACUCUCUUCCCAGCUAAGCCCAGGCUGUCUUCCUCCAAUUACAUAAUUGGGUAUUUAAUUACCACUGAGGUAGGAAACAAGAGUUCACCUUCCUUAUUUCUGUGAUGCUGGCCUCUGCUUCCCUAGACAUUUUUGUUCUCCUUGGCCAACUCCCCUUACUUUAUCAUCUACCUUUUAAAUGUAUGCUUGUACAAGGCAGCAGAGUGUGGGGUCAAUAGCAUAGGGCGAGGCUUAGGUUGCCACCAUUCCAGUUGUAAUUAUACCACCUGCUAGAGUAUAACCUCAGGCAAGUGACUUAACCUUCCAGUGACUCAGUUCCUUAACAUUGAAAUGAAAAAUCAC